rnacentral:rRNA from 1 species
GGGCGCUUGGCGUUUCGGUGGCGCAGCUAACGCGUUAAGUCAUCCGCCUGGGGAGUACGGCCGCAAGGUUAAAACUCAAAGAAAUUGACGGGGGCCUGCACAAGCGGUGGAGCAUGUGGUUUAAUUCGAAGCAACGCGCAGAACCUUACCAGCGUUUGACAUGGUAGGACGGCUUCCAGAGAUGGAUUCCUUCCCUUACGGGACCUACACACAGGUGCUGCAUGGCUGUCGUCAGCUCGUGUCGUGAGGUGUUGGGUUAAGUCCCGCAACGAGCGCAACCCUCGUCUUUAGUUGCUACCAUUUAGUUGGGCACUCUAAAGAAACUGCCGGUGAUAAGCCGGAGGAAGGUGGGGAUGACGUCAAGUCCUCAUGGCCCUUACGCGCUGGGCUACACACGUGCUACAAUGGCGGUGACAGUGGGCAGCAAACUCGCGAGAGUGAGCAAAUCCCCAAAAGCCGUCUCAGUUCGGAUUGUUCUCUGCAACUCGAGAGCAUGAAGGCGGAAUCGCUAGUAAUCGCGGAUCAGCAUGCCGCGGUGAAUACGUUCCCAGGCCUUGUACACUCCGCC